CUUAUGUUCCCAAUCAUUCAUGAAGAUGUUGAACAGUACUGGACCCAGGGCAGAUCCCUGGGGAACCCAAAUAAA